CUUCUCUUCCUCCAAUUUUGUGUUCAUCGGGACCCCCAGUCUACGGAUGGUGCCUGCCCAAACUGAGAAUAGGUCUUCCUCACUCACUUCACUGAUUGACAGGCCAGUUUUCUCAAAAACAUUGGCAAUGAAACAAACCCAGCAGUGGGCUGGGAGUGUAGAUUAGUGGUAGCGCACUUGCCUAGUAUAUACAAGGCCCUGGGUACCAUCUCCAGUACCUCAAAACAGGAAGGAAGGGAGGCAUUUUAAAAAGAAACAUCCAGAAGUGUGCUUUACCAAUUCUUUAAGCACCCCUCAAUUCAGUAGUGCUGAUUCCCAAAAUGUACCAUCGCUGUUGCCAAAGUUGUUACCAGAUGGCUUAAAAUUUUGUUAGGAACAAGACUGAUGACAAGUAAGGUUAGGAAAAGGAAUAGGUAUAGAUAUAUAGCUCUAUUAAAGGACAGGCUGUAUAAGUACUUGUGUCCCAUGUAAAUAGCCACCAAAAGAAAUAAUUAGAUGGGCUGAUGUAGUGUGUACAUGUCAGUUACCUUAUCUAGCCACCCCAGAGCUUGCUCCAUGGACCCAGGAAUAACUAUAAGGUCAGCAUGAAGGAUAUUUGUGGCUCAACAAUACAGAUUUCAAUUUACCAACACUGGCACAGUUGACACUACUGCUCUGUGCCUAAUCAGCCAAAAGUAGAAACCAUCAACUAUCCAAAUGUCAGUGAUCCCUACUUGACUAGGGAGCCACCUGGUGGCAGGCUUAUAACAUCAGCCUGCUCGCAUGAUGAAAGUGAAUAGGUAAAAUUCUUCAUCUCUGGAAUACACUCAAGUUCACGAGAUGGAUUUGCUUUUCUCCUAGAUAUGCUUCUGUGGGCAUCAACAUGUGUACUCAUCUACUGACUUCCCUAAGAGAAUUACCACUUCCAACCCCAGCAACAUAGAACACCGUCAGUUUGGAGAGCUUAGUUCCUAAUAAGGAACACUUCCUCUAGUGGGCACAAUUAUAGUCUCAUACAUUGGAUAAUAAGAUAACCCCCUAGCCAUUCUGGGUUUCAAAUAACAGUAAACCAAGAGGCAAGGAAAGGUGGGGGGUGGGGGAGGGAUGCUUAUGGACUGACAGAUUCAAU
rnacentral:lncRNA from 1 species